ensembl:lncRNA
GCUCUCUGUGCGGGGAGAAUUGAAAAGGAAGACAAAGCAUCCCUAUGUGAUUCCAUGGGUUUCCAGGAUAGACAAUGAGAAAAGGACCACUUCAGAAAAGACACUUCCUAAAAUCAGAACUUGUUUGAAGAUUUUUUAAAAUCUGCUUCAGCAGUUGACGUCAGCAUUUGACUGGGAGCCCGGUAAAAGCUACUACACAGGGAACAGGGAACCAAGAAACUUUGGCAGUCUUCGAGUUGUGCUUAUUAACGGAACGACCUUCACAAGUAACCCAGCCUCUGGGAACCUGUUUUCUCAUUUUCAAACGGGGACUGAGAAGUUUUUGAUUCGGGUGUGAUAAAACGCUACAAAAAAGGGACCAGGUUCAGAUGAGCGUUACCAGUGGCUAAUUUGUGUCUGAUUAUGGUUGAAGGAAAAAAAGGAGUUUAGAGACACCUAGGAAAGGGAGGCAAAGGGACCCUGGAGGUAGCACCUCCGUCAAGCCUCAGCUCUUUCACAGAGCAAAAAUCUCCUUCGCACGGCGGACACGUCCUCUUUUAACUGGAAAACGAAUGUUCACUUUGGAUGAGUUUUGUCCUCAUUAGCAGAAAAUCCCAUUCU